rnacentral:rRNA from 1 species
AACGUAGGGGGCAAGCGUUGUUCGGAAUCAUUGGGCGUAAAGCGCGUGUAGGCGGUCGAAUAAGUCAGAUGUGAAAUCCUCGGGCUUAACCCGAGAAGUGCAUCUGAAACUAUUCGACUUGAGUCUGGAAGAGGGAAAUGGAAUUCCUGGUGUAGCGGUGAAAUGCGCAGAUAUCAGGAAGAACACCAGUGGCGAAGGCGGUUUCCUGGGCCACGACUGACGCUGAGACGCGAAAGCUAGGGGAG